rnacentral:sRNA from 1 species
AGUCUCAAAGCAGAGACAGGCAGACUGCUGGCAGGCUGAGCUGUUUAUGCUUUAGAGACGCUAACCUGCAUGAGCAAGUAGGCCGGCAGGCCGGAUUGGGAAUGCAGGUCAGGAUUGCGGGAGUGCGGAAGCACGGAGCAAUCCGGGGGC